GACGAACGCUGGCGGCGUGCCUAAUACAUGCAAGUCGAACGAACUCUGGUAUUGAUUGGUGCUUGCAUCAUGAUUUACAUUUGAGUGAGUGGCGAACUGGUGAGUAACACGUGGGAAACCUGCCCAGAAGCGGGGGAUAACACCUGGAAACAGAUGCUAAUACCGCAUAACAACUUGGACCGCAUGGUCCGAGUUUGAAAGAUGGCUUCAGCUAUCACUUUUGGAUGGUCCCGCGGCGUAUUAGCUAGAUGGUGGGGUAACGGCUCACCAUGGCAAUGAUACGUAGCCGACCUGAGAGGGUAAUCGGCCACAUUGGGACUGAGACACGGCCCAAACUCCUACGGGAGGCAGCAGUAGGGAAUCUUCCACAAUGGACGAAAGUCUGAUGGAGCAACGCCGCGUGAGUGAAGAAGGGUUUCGGCUCGUAAAACUCUGUUGUUAAAGAAGAACAUAUCUGAGAGUAACUGUUCAGGUAUUGACGGUAUUUAACCAGAAAGCCACGGCUAACUACGUGCCAGCAGCCGCGGUAAUACGUAGGUGGCAAGCGUUGUCCGGAUUUAUUGGGCGUAAAGCGAGCGCAGGCGGUUUUUUAAGUCUGAUGUGAAAGCCUUCGGCUUAACCGAAGAAGUGCAUCGGAAACUGGGAAACUUGAGUGCAGAAGAGGACAGUGGAACUCCAUGUGUAGCGGUGAAAUGCGUAGAUAUAUGGAAGAACACCAGUGGCGAAGGCGGCUGUCUGGUCUGUAACUGACGCUGAGGCUCGAAAGUAUGGGUAGCAAACAGGAUUAGAUACCCUGGUAGUCCAUACCGUAAACGAUGAAUGCUAAGUGUUGGAGGGUUUCCGCCCUUCAGUGCUGCAGCUAACGCAUUAAGCAUUCCGCCUGGGGAGUACGGCCGCAAGGCUGAAACUCAAAGGAAUUGACGGGGGCCCGCACAAGCGGUGGAGCAUGUGGUUUAAUUCGAAGCUACGCGAAGAACCUUACCAGGUCUUGACAUACUAUGCAAAUCUAAGAGAUUAGACGUUCCCUUCGGGGACAUGGAUACAGGUGGUGCAUGGUUGUCGUCAGCUCGUGUCGUGAGAUGUUGGGUUAAGUCCCGCAACGAGCGCAACCCUUAUUAUCAGUUGCCAGCAUUAAGUUGGGCACUCUGGUGAGACUGCCGGUGACAAACCGGAGGAAGGUGGGGAUGACGUCAAAUCAUCAUGCCCCUUAUGACCUGGGCUACACACGUGCUACAAUGGAUGGUACAACGAGUUGCGAACUCGCGAGAGUAAGCUAACCUCUUAAAGCCAUUCUCAGUUCGGAUUGUAGGCUGCAACUCGCCUACAUGAAGUCGGAAUCGCUAGUAAUCGCGGAUCAGCAUGCCGCGGUGAAUACGUUCCCGGGCCUUGUACACACCGCCCGUCACACCAUGAGAGUUUGUAACACCCAAAGUCGGUGGGGUAACCUUUUAGGAACCAGCCGCCUAAGGUGGGACAGAUGAUUAGGGUG
rnacentral:rRNA from 1 species